AUUGAACGCUGGCGGCAGGCUUAACACAUGCAAGUCGCGCGAGCGGCGGACGGGUUAGUCAUGUCUGGGAAACUGCCUGAUGGAGGGGGAUAACUACUGGAAACGGUAGCUACUACCGCAUACCAUCAGAUGUGCCCCGGUGGGAUUAGCUAGUAGGUGGGGUAAUGGCUCACCUGGGCGACGAUCCCUAGCUGGUCUGAGAGGAUGACAAGCCACACUGGAACUGAGACACGGUCCAGACUCCUACGGGAGGCAGCAGUGGGGAAUAUUGCACAAUGGGCGCAAGCCUGAUGCAGCCAUGCCGCGUGUGUGAAGAAGGUCUUCGGGUUGUAAAGCACUUUCAGCGAGGAGGCGUUACUCGCAGAAGAAGCACCGGCUAACUCCGUGCCAGCCGCCGCGGUAAUUC
rnacentral:rRNA from 1 species